GAUGAACGCUGGCGGCGUGCCUAAUACAUGCAAGUCGAACGCACAGCGAAAGGUGCUUGCACCUUUCAAGUGAGUGGCGAACGGGUGAGUAACACGUGGAUAACCUACCUCAAGGUUGGGGAUAACAUUUGGAAACAGAUGCUAAUACCGAAUAAAACUUAGUAUCGCAUGAUACCAGGUUAAAAGGCGCUACGGCGUCACCUAGAGAUGGAUCCGCGGUGCAUUAGUUAGUUGUGGGUAAAGGCGUUACCAAGACAAUGAUGCAUAGCCGAGUUGAGAGACUGAUCGGCCACAUUGGGACUGAGACACGGCCCGAAACUCCUACGGGAGGCUAGCAGUAGGGAAUC
rnacentral:rRNA from 1 species